AAACUCAUUCACGAAGCUGAAAACGCUUAUCGACUGUGGCGAUUGUCCUUUCCCCCUCAUUCUCGAACCCUAAUGCCUUUCGUUUAAGUCCUUUCGUUCCCUCUCCCCUUCUCGAACCCUAAUCACUCAUUGAAUGUCUUUCAUUCACGAAGUGAAAUCUCUGAAUCGCAGUAAUGAAGCUUCAAUCGCUCUCACAAAGCUUCAAUAUCUCAUUCACUGAUUCUAUUUAUCAAUUCGAAGCUGUCGACAUGUUCUAAUUCUAUUUCUCAAUCGCAAUCUCUUAGUUUCGAUAAGUUUUCUAAUUUACAAUUAUCCUUCAAUCUACACUUGUUUUCAUGUAUUGGGUUUUUGUGAUUAGUGUUUUCAAGGUGAAAUUUGUGUUUUUUAGGUUAUUGGGUGAUGUGUUUUUAAUUUGGGGUUUCCUUGGAUUUGGUAAAUUGUUUAAGGUUAUCUGUUAUAACAUUUUAGAUUACUUGUUAAUUGUUAUUAUAGGGUUUUACUCAUAGAUUCAAUUACAACUACAAUCCUUUGAUUCUCAGCUCUUAAUUUGUUAGUAGUUCAUAUUUGAUUGGAUGUUGGCAAUUUAGAUUCGUCCAUGGUUACCAUAAGAGUGGUGAUUUACUAUAUUUAUUUUCACUCGUCGUUUCAGUUCUUCAUGCAGUCAUGAAUCAUGUUUACCGUUUCAGUCGCCGUUGGAAGCCUUCAAUCCCCGUUCCACUCGCUGUUUCAGUAGUGAAGCUCUCACUCACUGUGAUUUCAGUUUGCAUCAACGGCAUAAUGGGUUUUAAUGGGUUUUUCAAUACCCGAAACCCGAUUUUUUAAUGGGUUUUUCAUUUUUGAAAUCCAUAUCCACCCACUUGCCCGACCCAACCCACUUUUUUGGGUUGGAUUGGGUGGGUUUGACCGGGUCGACUGGAUUUGCCCAACCCAUGUACACACUAAGUAUAUGUAACAAACUUCACACACAAACCUCAGAGGAAAAAAUUUGAAAACCAGAGAGAAGUCAUUGAACCGUGGAAACCAGAUGCAUUAUGUUGGAACUGUUAACGUGGUGCCUAAUACUAUGCAUUAUGUUGGAACUGUUACCGUGGUGCCUAAUACUCAUUCUUAUACCCUUCAGUUUGACGGUGCAUCCAGCGGAAAUCCUGGACCAGCUGGUGCAGGAGCUGUACUGCUUUCUGAAAAUGGGACCGUGCUCUAUCGAUUCCGUGAAGGACUGGGCUAUCAAACAAACAAUGUUGCUGAGUAUCGCGCUUUGAUUUUAGGACUCAAACAAGCUAUAAGGAAAGGAUGUAUGAACAUCACUAUCCAGGGAGACUCCCAGCUUGUUAUCAACCAGUUUCAGGGGUCCUGGAAAAUCAACAAUGCGCAUUUAAGGAACUUAUGUGAUGAGGCUUUGGAACUAAAGAAUAGCUUGCGCUCAUUCCGCAUCCAAUACAUUCCUAGGGUAUUUACUUAGUAAUUUGGUCUCUAAUGUCAAAAUUGGGAAUUGCUUUGUGGAGUUGGAAACAGUUACUAGUACUUUGGAAUAUAACACUGAAGCUGAUGCUCAAGCCAACCGUGCCAUCAAUCUCCGAGAUGGACAGGUUGAAGAAGAUCGUCUCUAAUCUCGAUUAAUGAUCAUCUGACAGCAUGCCACUGUCAAAAACUCUUGGCAACUAUGUUACAUUUCUGUCUAUGAAUUUAGCAUAAUGGGUGUUUUACAUGUUGCCCUACAUGUCAAAUGUCAAAUAUUGUUUGCAAUAUUGUAAAUUUGAACAUGCCUCUAUGUCUGGAUGUGCACCAUUAGAAGCUUCAGGACUUAAAAAUGUUGUUGUGAUGUUCCAUGUUUGGAUUUUAUUUCAAUUCUGAAUUUCUAUAUUUUCUAUGUUCAUCUGUAAAACUCUUGUUAUAUGAUGACCAACAUUGA